UUUUUGUUCUUUCAUUCAAAGAACUGCAGGAGUAGGUGUGUGUAGCUACUAGCUCCCAUCCAGGAUCCCAGUAUCCGACAAGGACAUGCCAAUAGAGCCACCGAACACCGGCGCGGCGGCGCGGCGGCGCCUAUCCCCGUCCCAUGAGCAUUGAGCAGCAGCGAGAUGCCUCUAGAUCUCGCACGAAAUGGCCCCGCCGCUGUCCAUCCUCGCCGUCAUCCUCCACGUCGUCUCCGCCACCGCCGUCAAGGCGCUGGUCUUCGACGUGCCGUCGGGCAGCUCCAAGUGCCUGACCGAGGAGCUCCACCGCCGCGCGGUCAGCCACGCGUCGUACCGCGUGGUGGCGGAGUCCACUUCAGCGGCCGACCGGAGGAUCUUGGUGCGCGUGACGGGUCCGCGCGGUGAGGAGCUCUACGUGGCGGAGGGCGGGGAACGCGGGGAGUUCAGGUUCGAGGCGGCGGAGGACGGUGAGCACACCGCCUGCUUCUGGUCACCCCGCUACGAGCGCGGCACCGUUGUCUCCGUCGACGUGCAGUGGGCCACCACCAGUGUUGGCGGCGGCGCCCACGCCGGAGGGUCCGGGUCCCCGCCCGCCGUCGCGGUUGCCAGCGAAGGCCGCAUUGCUACUCAGCCACUCCAGUUAUUAAUUGGAUCGUUGGCUUCAAAGUUUCCAAAUACAGUUCAUGAGGACAGAGAUGUUUGUUUAGCUUUUCCACAAAUAAAAGAAUAUAGGGAAACUUAGCUUCCCAUGUUAUGUGUGGUAUUCCUACAGUAGAAAUAGCACCAUGGUGAAUCUCAAUUCUCAAGGUGAAACAAUCUUGGUGCCAUAAUGGAGGCAAUCAGGCAACAAACAUAUACUCCUUCAAAUGGGAGGCCAAUGUUAUUCAGUGCUUUGAAAUUGUUGUCUAAUUCAAGAAAAGAAAAGAAAAGAAGAGAAAAUGAGUGCUUGGAGGUGUUUUAUUGUCGAAGUGCAUGCUUCAACAAUGUCAUGCAUUACAUAUUUACAUGCUAAAGCCUAAAGGAGGAAGCAGUGGUUUUAGUGAAGUCGAGACUCCAUUAUCAAAACCAUCAUAGGAGAGUUGAAGAAACUGGAGGAUUCUGCUCGACUCAUACACCAAGAAAUGUUAUCUUUUCGCCAGAGGUGGUCUUCUUUUCCAUAGGCGAACUUGAGAUGCAGAGGCUCAACGAAGACACCGCCACAAGGUUACACUCGUUCACCCUAUUGUCAUUGGCCAUGUGCGUGGGGGUUGCAGCAUUGCAGCUAUGGCAUCUGAAGACUUUCUUUCAAAAACAACAUAU